GGGGCGGUAGCUCAGCCCGGGAGAGCAUCCGGCUGAAGACCGGAGGGUCGGGGGUUCAAAUCCCCCCCGCCCCA
rnacentral:tRNA from 2 species